rnacentral:rRNA from 1 species
AUACGGAGGGUGCAAGCGUUGUUCGGAAUUACUGGGCGUAAAGCGCGUGCAGGCGGUAAGGUAAGUCAGAUGUGAAAGCCCCGGGCUCAACCCGGGAAGUGCAUUUGAUACUGCCUUUCUUGAGUAUGGGAGAGGAGAGUGGAAUUCCCAGUGUAGAGGUGAAAUUCGUAGAUAUUGGGAGGAACACCCGUGGCGAAGGCGACUCUCUGGACCAAUACUGACGCUGAGACGCGAAAGCGUGGGGAGCGAACAGGAUUAGAAACCCUUGUAGUCC